GCAAAACCCAGCCAUGAUACCAUUCCUAACAAUCUUCCUACUUUCCUUUGCUUCACUCUCAAACUCUCUACCUCUCUCAGCAAGCUCAAGAUGGAUCACGGAUGACCAAAGUGGGGAAAGGGUGAAGUUGGCCUGUGCUAGUUGGGCAAGCCACUUGGAACCCAUGUUACCCGAGGGCCUAGACAGGAGACCAUUAAGCCAAAUUGCCACACGUCUCAACUAUGGGUUUCAACUGCGUGCGGCUCACAUGGGCCACCUACAUGUUCACUCGCUACGCCAACAUGACUGUGGUUCAGUCGUUCCGUGGUCUGGGACUAACGGACGCGAUUUCUGGUAUGGCCAGUAGAAACCCCAACCUCUUGAGGCUCAAUCUGGUGGAUGCUUGGAAGGCGGUGGUUGAAGAGAUUGGUAGACAUGGUAUCAUGAUGGUGCUUGAUAACCAUGUUAGCAAACCCAUGUGGUGCUGCGCUGACCAAGACGGUAACGGCUUCUUCGGCAGCGUUUACUUCGAUCCUGAUGAAUGGUUGCAAGGCCUAGCCAUUGUUGCUAACAUCUUCAAGGAUACACCCAUGGUGAUAGGCAUGAGCUUGCGCAACGAGCUACGUGGGCCCAUACAAAACGUGGAUGUAUGGUACAAGUACGUAGAGAAGGGUGCAAAGACGAUCAACAGCGCAAACCCAAACCUCCUGGUAAUCAUCUCGGGACUGAGCUACGAUCUGGAUUUCAGAUUCCUAAAGCAGAGUCCAUUGAAGCUAAAGAUGAUGAAGAAGAAGAAGGUAGUUUACGAGGUGCAUCGCUACUCGUUCAACGAGGGGCAGUCGAAGGUGUGGAUGGGAGGGCCAUUGAACAAAGUGUGUCACGACAUCACACGAGAAAUGGAGGAGAAGGCAGGGUUCUUGGUUAGGGGGGGAAAGGACGAUGCAGCCCCUCUGUUUGUGAGUGAGUUUGGGAUUGACCAAAUGGGAGAGUCUGAGGCUGACAAUCGUCACUUGCCGUGCAUGCUUUUGUAUUUGGCCGAUUUGGAUUUGGAUUAGAGUGUUUGGGCUCUCCAAGGAAGCUAUUACCUUAGGGGAGGGCAGUAUGGUCCAGAUGAAACAUAUGGCAUGUUUAAUACCAAUUGGACUGCCCUUAGAAAUCCCAAUUUCCACUCGAAAUUAGAGUUUUUGGAACAAAAACUCCAAGAUCCGAAGUCAAGUGGACUAAGGGUGCGUUUGGUUCGCACAUGGGAAUCGGAAUCGGAAU